ACCUUCCGUACACUCAGGGAUAGCCUUUCGAAAGAAAGAUUAAUACCUGAUGGUAUGAUGAGAUUGCAUGAUAGCAUCAUUAAAGAUUUAUCGGUGUACGAUGGGGAUGCGUUCCAUUAGGUAGUAGGCGGGGUAACGGCCCACCUAGCCUACGAUGGAUAGGGGUUCUGAGAGGAAGGUCCCCCACAUUGGAACUGAGACACGGUCCAAACUCCUACGGGAGGCAGCAGUGAGGAAUAUUGGUCAAUGGACGAGAGUCUGAGCCAGCCAAGUAGCGUGAAGGAUGAAGGUCUUACGGAUUGUAAACUUCUUUUAUAAGGGAAUAAAACCUCCCACGUGUGGGAGCUUGUAUGUACCUUAUGAAUAAGCAUCGGCUAACUCCGUGCCAGCAGCCGCGGUAAUACGGAGGAUGCGAGCGUUAUCCGGAUUUAUUGGGUUUAAAGGGAGCGCAGACGGGUCGUUAAGUCAGCUGUGAAAGUUUGGGGCUCAACCUUAAAAUUGCAGUUGAUACUGGCGUCCUUGAGUGCGGUUGAGGUGUGCGGAAUUCGUGGUGUAGCGGUGAAAUGCUUAGAUAUCACGAAGAACUCCGAUUGCGAAGGCAGCACACUAAGCCGUAACUGACGUUCAUGCUCGAAAGUGUGGGUAUCAAACAGGAUUAGAUACCCUGGUAGUCCACACGGUAAACGAUGGAUACUCGCUGUUGGCGAUAUACGGUCAGCGGCUUAGCGAAAGCGUUAAGUAUCCCACCUGGGGAGUACGCCGGCAACGGUGAAACUCAA
rnacentral:rRNA from 1 species